CCCCCCCUUUUUUCGGCCAACCGGGUCCCAGCGUCUUUUUUUUUUUGACGAUCUAGCCGCCAUGAUGAAUUAAUGCGCGGGCUGUUGGUCUGACUACAUCGGCGUCUCUGUCGAACUGCUUCUUGAAUAAUAAAUCGCGGGCAGAUCUGCCUUCUUCUGCGCUAUAGGAUGUGAUCGUCUUGGCCGAGGGAAUUUUUCCCUAAAACUUUUCUUUGUCUUCUGUUAGUUAGUCAGCCAACCCGAAUAGCUACGUUUUAGUUGUGCUUCCGCGACAUCUCCGCGAUGCGCGUCCUAACUGGCGAUCGCGCAACAUGAAUGGAAUCAUCUGUCAUCACCCUGCUUCGGCAGGGUGCAAGAGAUACCCCCCGAUUGAAGAAACACCCCCGUCAUCCGAGAGUCACCCCUCCACAAAUGGUCGUGAUUGAAAGUCAAUUGAGUGAACCCCAACCAAAUUUAUUCUGCUCUUCCCGCCGAAUUUUACCUGGUCGUGAGUUCUGAACGACAAAAUUUCAUCAAUCUUGGUGUGCCAGUGGACAGGGGAGAAGUUUUUGUGAACUAUGUAAAGUUAUAUCUUCAGUAAUUAUGACUCAAGAAGAAUUAAUCCUUAUUGGACAUGGGUAUAUUGUAAUUUUUUUUGCAUAAGAUUUAAAACCAAGGCAAUAUAUUCUAACUAUUUUUGUGAACAUUUUACUAUGGAUAGAACCUUGUUAAAUUUUCGCUAGAUUCGCGGUCCGGACUCGCUAGCACUAUAAAUUGUGUUCAUGUUUUCUUCAUUAAUGAUUGCUAAGAUGUUAAAAUGCUAAUUGGUUGAUCGAUGGUUAAUCUGCCUUCAUCUUUUCUGGUAAAAUCUAAUUAAAGAAAGAUUAUGCACUACAUAAAAGAAUAUUAAUAUAAAUAAACCAGCAAGCCUAUAGAUCACAUGACUUAUUUUGUUGUUUUUAUUUAAUUGAGUACCUAUAUGUAUAUUUCUACCGAUCCACUGACUCCCAAAUGGAUUGUUUGUAGGGAGUUUCUAAAUUAUUUUGUUCCCCGCCUCGUGCCAUCUCUGGUGAUGUUCGAAUUUUAUGUGAAUUUUGUAGCUUGUUGCUCAGCUGUUUCCUUGGACUUUUAAGAGGUGUUAUAACACUAAAAAUCAAGGG